rnacentral:rRNA from 1 species
GACGAACGCUGGCGGCGUGCUUAACACAUGCAAGUCGAACGGAAAGGCCCUGCUUUUGUGGGGUGCUCGAGUGGCGAACGGGUGAGUAACACGUGAGUAACCUGCCCUUGACUUUGGGAUAACUUCAGGAAACUGGGGCUAAUACCGGAUAGGAGCUCCUGCUGCAUGGUGGGGGUUGGAAAGUUUCGGCGGUUGGGGAUGGACUCGCGGCUUAUCAGCUUGUUGGUGGGGUAGGGGCUUACCAAGGCUUUGACGGGUAGCCGGCCUGAGAGGGUGGCCGGCCACAUUGGGACUGAGAUACGGCCCAGACUCCAACGGGAGGCAGCAGGGGGGAAUAUUGCACAAUGGGCGGAAGCCUGAUGCAGCAACGCCGCGUGCGGGAUGACGGCCUUCGGGUUGUAAACCGCUUUCGCCUGUGACGAAGCGUGAGUGACGGUAAUGGGUAAAGAAGCACCGGCUAACUACGUG